rnacentral:rRNA from 1 species
AUUGAACGCUGGCGGCAUGCCUUACACAUGCAAGUCGAACGGUAACAGGUCUUCGGAUGCUGACGAGUGGCGAACGGGUGAGUAAUACAUCGGAACGUGCCCAGACGUGGGGGAUAACGAGGCGAAAGCUUUGCUAAUACCGCAUACGAUCUAAGGAUGAAAGCAGGGGACCGCAAGGCCUUGUGCGUUUGGAGCGGCCGAUGGCAGAUUAGGUAGUUGGUGGGAUAAAAGCUUACCAAGCCGACGAUCUGUAGCUGGUCUGAGAGGACGACCAGCCACACUGGGACUGAGACAUGGCCCAGACUCCUACGGGAGGCAGCAGUGGGGAAUUUUGGACAAUGGGCGAAAGCCUGAUCCAGCAAUGCCGCGUGCAGGAUGAAGGCCUUCGGGUUGUAAACUGCUUUUGUACGGAAAGAAAAGGCUCUGGCUAAUACCUGGGGCACAUGACGGUACCGUAAGAAUAAGCACCGGCUAACUACGUG